AAAAUGCCAAUAAAACAGAUUCACUGAACUUACUCUUUUAUUUGUUGAUUCGCUCUAUUUACAUUGUCGCUUUCUUUCACUUCGAAGUCUCGAUGGCAGGCGGGAACACUGCCUCCGGCGGCAGGACCGGUGUGAGAAUCGUCGUCGCAGGCGAUCGCUUCACCGGAAAAUCGAGCUUGAUUGCGGCGGUUGCCACUGAUUCUUUCCCCGAGAACGUCCCCCGCGUGCUUUCUCCUACUCGUCUACCGGCCGAUUUCUUCCCCGAUCGUGUCCCCAUCACCAUCAUCGACACUUCUUCUGCCCCGGAGAAUAGAGGAAAGCUUAUUGACGAAUUGAAGCGAGCUGAUGCGGUGGUGUUAACUUAUGCUUGUGAUCAACCUCUGACACUCAGUCGUUUGAGUAGUACUUGGCUCGAGGAACUCCGGCAAUUGGAGAUCAAGGCACCUAUUAUUGUGGUUGGUUGCAAACUAGACUUGCGACCCGAUAGUGAGGCUGUUAGCCUGGAGCAGGUCAUGGGACCAACCAUGCAACGAUAUAGAGAAAUUGAGACCUGUAUAGAAUGUUCCGCAGUUACCCUUAUGCAGGUCCCAGAUGUUUUCUAUUUUGCUCAAAAAGCUGUCCUUCAUCCAACAUCUCCAUUGUUUGAUCAAGAGAAUCAAGCUUUGAGACCUCGAUGUGAAAGGGCUUUGAGAAGGAUAUUUCUUCUUUGUGAUCGUGACAUGGAUGGGGCACUUAAUGAUGCAGAGUUGAAUGACUUUCAGGUUAAGUGUUUUAAUGCUCCCCUGCAGCCUGCUGAGAUAGUGGGUGUGAGAAGAGUAGUACAAGAAAAGAAGAAAGAAGGUGUUAAUGACCUGGGUCUUACACUUGAAGGAUUCCUUUUCCUACAUACUCUAUUCAUAGAUAAGGGGCGACUUGAAACAACUUGGGCUGUUUUGAGAAAAUUUGGCUAUGACGAUGAAUUAAAACUCAGAGAUGAUCUUCUUCCUGUUCCAUCUAAACAAGCUUCUGACCAGAGUAUAGAGCUGACUACUGAAGCUGUGGAGUUUCUGCGUGGGAUCUUCCGAUUGUUUGAUAUUGAUAAUCAUGGGGCUUUACGACCUGCUGAACUUGAUGAGCUAUUUUCAACUGCUCCAGAAAAUCCUUGGCAUGAGGCUCCUUACAAGGAUGCUGCAGAGAGAACAACACAAAGGAAUUUAACUCUGAAGGGUUUCCUAUCUGAGUGGGAUCUCAUGACAUUGCUGGAUCCAAAAAGCAGUUUGGCUAAUCUGAUAUAUGUUGGUUAUGGUGGAAAUCCUGCUUCAGCACUCUGUGUUACUCAAAGAAGAACAGUGGACCGCAAAAAGCAACGAACAGAAAGAAAUGUUUUCCAUUGCUUAGUGUUUGGUCCUAAAAAUGCUGGAAAGUCAGCUCUAUUGAAUUCAUUUUUAGAAAGGCCAUUCUCAAUUUACAAUCCAACAAUAGCAGAGCAUUAUGCAGCAAAUGUUGUUGACCAGGUUUUGGGCAAUAAGAAGACUCUUAUUUUGCACGAGAUGCCAGAAGAUGGAGUAAAGAAAUUUUUGUCAAAUAAAGAAUCCCUGGCAGCCUGUGAUGUUGCUGUAUUUGUCUACGAUAGUUCAGAUAAAUAUUCUUGGAAAAGAACCUGUGAAAUGCUUUUGGAAGUAACUAGGUUAGGUGAAGAAAGCGGAUAUGGGGUGCCAUGCCUUCUUGUCGCAGCCAAGGAUGACUUGGAUCCAUUUACAAUGGCAGUUCAGGAUCCAGUAACGGUUUGUCAGGAUUUGGGAAUAGAGGCUCCUAUUGCUGUUAGCAUGAAACUAGGAGAAACAAAUAAUGUAUUCUGUAGAAUUCUAAGUGCAGCUGAACGCCCUCAUUUGAAUAUUCCUGAAACUGAGGCUGGGAGGAAGCGCAAGUACUUUCGGCAGCUUUUCAGUCACUCUCUGCUAUUCAUGUCAGUUGGGGCUGCUUUCACAGUUGUCGGAGUGGCAGCUUUUCGCGCAUACACUGCAAGGAAGAAUUCUUCUAGCUAGAUUUUGAGCUGCCAAUUAACUGUUGCAACUUUGCUACAUCAAUGGAAGGCUUUCCCAAUUUUGCACGCUUCAACUCAUCAUGGAAUCAUUACAGUUGUAUGCAUACGAGAUUGUAUGGCUAUGGAAUUGGAAUUCAUCCAUAACAAUCAGAAGAUCCAGAGGAUGUGUCCAAGAAAACUGAAAUUAACUUUCCAGCCGUGAAAUUGCUUACCUUGUAUGUCUCAAGCCCUGAUAACAAGGUUUAAUUCACUUGAUCUCAUAGGAGUUUUUUUUCUUGAUUUAGUUAUGUUACUGUUUAUGUUUUGAGAGAUCCCUUUUAUUUUUGUCAAUAAGCAAAAAAAUUUUUUUUAUUUCAAA